GACGAACGCUGGCGGCGUGCUUAACACAUGCAAGUCGAACGGAAAGGCCCUUCGGGUCUAGUGGCGCACGGGUGCGUAACGCGUGGGAAUCUGCCCUUAGGUACGGAAUAACUCAGGGAAACUUGUGCUAAUACCGUAUGAUGUCUUCGGACCAAAGAUUUAUCGCCUAGGGAUGAGCCCGCGUAGGAUUAGCUAGUUGGUGGGGUAAAGGCCUACCAAGGCUACGAUCCUUAGCUGGUCUGAGAGGAUGAUCAGCCACACUGGGACUGAGACACGGCCCAGACUCCUACGGGAGGCAGCAGUGGGGAAUAUUGGACAAUGGGCGAAAGCCUGAUCCAGCAAUGCCGCGUGAGUGAAGAAGGCCUCGGUUG
rnacentral:rRNA from 1 species